GCCGGGGCGGCCUUUCUGACGAGGAGAAGGCCACUGGGCUGAGGCCAAAGAAUGAGAAAGAGCCAGCCACGUGGUGAGCUGGGAGAGGGCAUCCCAGGCAGUGCAACCAGUGCUUGCAAAGGCCCUGGGGCUGGACAGUUCUUGGUGGAGUCUGAGUCCCAACAGGCAUGCACAGUCCCAAGAAAGACCUGUCCUGGAGCCAGUGACCACAAGGAGCCAAGGAACAGCCCUGCUUAUCUUGUCUCCUCCCAGCUUCUACCUUGACCAUGAUUCCAUUCCUACCCACUGUCCAAGUGAUCAGUCAGGCUACACACUCUGCCGGGAACUGGGGAGCAAUUGAAGUUUAUUGAGCAGGGGAAGCACUCUGAGGAAAGUGCUCUAGGCUGCAAGAGUUGGCAACCAGGAUGGUUGGGAGUGGGAGACAGCAGAGCACAAUCAUAGAACUGCUUAUCUGGGAAAGCGUCCCAUCAUUUUCUAAAGGGGAGAUUUGGAUACAGACAUGCACACAGGGAGAAAGCCACGUGAAGAUGAAGGCAGAGGUUGGGGUGACACUUCCACAAGCCUGGAAUGCAAAAAUCACCAGCAACCACCAGAAGCCAGGGAAUGAGCCUGGAACGGUCCCUACCCGCCCCCCCCCCCCCUCCACCCCUUUCCCCACCCCACCACCCCUUCCCCCACUGCAGCCUCGGGAGGAGCAGCCCUGCUGACACCUGGAUCUGGAACUUCUGGCCUCCAGCAUGUGAGACAAUGAAUUCCUGUUGUUGAACCUGCCCAGUCGGUGGCACUUUGUUAAGGUAGCUCCAGGAAACAAGCACAGGGGCCCUUCCCCUCUCUUGCGCCAGCUUGGGAGCCUGCUCCUCAUGGACAGGCAUCGGCCUCCGUUGGCACCUGAGAGUCAGAAGUGGCUGGAAUGGUGGAUGGAAGACAAAGCUGAGGGCAUGUUGCAUGCCAGAGCAUAGGAGGGAGCUAGGGGUGUUCCCGGGAAGAAAUGGCCUGGGCUCACAGAUGAAGAAACUGAGGCUCGGAACAGGGAAGGAUCUUCCUUUGAGCCCCUUCUCGCCAUCACCUACCCUUGAAGACAAAGCACAACCCGACCUCUAACACCAUCAACCAGCUUUGCCUGUUUUGUAAUUUAAA